rnacentral:rRNA from 1 species
UAAGGAAUAUUGGACAAUGGGCGCAAGCCUGAUCCAGCCAUGCCGCGUGAGUGAUGAAGGCCCUAGGGUUGUAAAGCUCUUUUGUGCGGGAAGAUAAUGACGGUACCGCAUGAAUAAGCACCGGCUAACUCCGUGCCAGCAGCCGCGGUAAUACGGAGGGUGCGAGCGUUAUCCGGAUUCACUGGGUUUAAAGGGUGCGUAGGUGGGUUGCCAAGUCCGUGGUGAAAUCUCUGAGCUUAACUCAGAAACUGCCGUGGAUACUGGUGAUCUUGAAUAUCGUUGAGGUAAGCGGAAUAUGUCAUGUAGCGGUGAAAUGCUUAGAUAUGACAUAGAACACCGAUAGCGGAGGCAGCUUACUAAGCGAUCAUUGACGCUGAGGCACGAAAGCGUGGGGAGCAAACA